CCCGAAACCCGGUGAUCUAGCCAUGGGCAGGUUGAAGGUUGGGUAACACUAACUGGAGGACCGAACCGACUAAUGUUGAAAAAUUAGCGGAUGACCUGUGGCUGGGGGUGAAAGGCCAAUCAAACCGGGAGAUAGCUGGUUCUCCCCGAAAGCUAUUUAGGUAGCGCCUCGUGAAUUCAUCUCCGGGGGUAGAGCACUGUUUCGGCUAGGGGGCCAUCCCGGCUUACCAACCCGAUGCAAACUGCGAAUACCGGAGAAUGUUAUCACGGGAGACACACGGCGGGUGCUAACGUCCGUCGUGAAGAGGGAAACAACCCAGACCGCCAGCUAAGGUCCCAAAGUCAUGGUUAAGUGGGAAACGAUGUGGGAAGGCCCAGACAGCCAGGAUGUUGGCUUAGAAGCAGCCAUCAUUUAAAGAAAGCGUAAUAGCUCACUGGUCGAGUCGGCCUGCGCGGAAGAUGUAACGGGGCUAAACCAUGCACCGAAGCUGCGGCAGCGACACUGUGUGUUGUUGGGUAGGGGAGCGUUCUGUAAGCCUGUGAAGGUGUGUCGUGAGGC
rnacentral:rRNA from 3 species